GGUGAGGCGAUGAGGUGGGAGUGGCUGGCUGGUGAGAAACUACUUACCACCAUUGUCAUGUACCACCAUUUCUGCCAAUUGGUUUGGCCCUGGAUGUGUGUGGUGGAGGAGGAGGCCUGUUUUUUUACCAAACAAACAAUUUGUCUGACGCUCCGUGGACUUUGUUGGCGUACACAUAUCUGAUGUCCCUGUGUCUGCUAACAUUUGACAGACAGUAAGGCGCCACUUUGACAAUAUUGUCAGGCAAUUAGC